rnacentral:rRNA from 1 species
UACGGAGGGUGCAAGCGUUAUCCGGAUUCACUGGGUUUAAAGGGUGCGUAGGUGGGCAGGUAAGUCAGUGGUGAAAUCUUUGGGCUUAACCCGAAAACUGCCAUUGAUACUAUUUGUCUUGAAUAUUGUGGAGGUCAGCGGAAUAUGUCAUGUAGCGGUGAAAUGCUUGGAUAUGACAUAGAACACCAAUUGCGAAGGCAGCUGGCUACACAUAUAUUGACACUGAUGCACGAAAGCGUGGGGAUCAAACAGG